rnacentral:rRNA from 1 species
GGACUACCCGGGUUUCUAAUCCCGUUUGCUCCCCUGGCUUUCGCGCCUCAGCGUCAGAAGAGGUCCAGCGCGCCGCUUUCGCCACCGGCGUUCCUUCCGAUAUCUACGCAUUUCACCGCUCCACCGGAAGUUCCGCACGCCCCUACCUCCCUCGAGGCCGCCAGUAUCAAAGGCACUUCCGCGGUUGAGCCGCGGGCUUUCACCCCUGACUUGGAGGCCCGCCUACGCGCCCUUUAAGCCCAGUGAAUCCGAACAACGUUCGCACGGUUCGUCUUACCGCGGCUGCUGGCAC